UAAUGUGCAAUUAUUUUAUUAUUUAUUCAUGUUUUUAUAGCAGUUAUUUUUUUUAUUGUUUACCAAAUAGUAUCACAUGUGAGAGUUAUUUCUUUUUGGCUUGUUUGUAAUUAUUGCUUAAAUGGACAGCUCUGUAUAAUUUGUGACUUUGUUUUUGUGCAUGCAUUUAUCAUUUAUUUUAUAACAAGCCUAAAGUUGAAGAAAGGCUGAGCGAAAUUCACUGGUGUCAUGAAGUGUCACUAGUAAACAAACUUACCAAGACAAAAAAACUAACUCAGUCAAAUUAUUUACUUAUCUGAUAUGUAGGGAGAGUUCUAAAAAUUAAGCUAGUGAAAAUAUAAUCUUCGAGUACCCUGAUAGGUGUAAGUUAUUUACUUCUGAAAUCACUCUCGUAUUGGAGUUUGAAAAGUUUCUUUUUUAGAGCCAAUGGAAGUUUCUGUUUUCUCAAAAAGAAAAAGAGAGAGAGGAAAAGAAACUUUUCCAAAUAUUUGUCCAGGAGGCCUUCAACAAAUCAGAUCCAGGAUCAGAGGAAAAACUAUGCCGAGAUGUGUAUCCUCCACCCCGUUGCAGCAUGCGUGUGCAUGUGUGUGCGUGUGACUUAUUAGUGGAUGGGAAUGUAAACAUUCAGUGGGAAACGUGUGGAUGUGAGAGCUGCCGCCCCCUGGCCUACUUCUGCAGAGAACACUAUGUUCUUAAAACACUGAUCUCAUGCAGGGAGGGCAGUCAUACACACACCAACUCACGCACACACUCACACACACUCACCCCCACACACACACACACACACACACACACACACACACGCACACGCACACACAAGUGUGCGUGUGCGUGCGAAGAGACAUGCAGGUCACAUGUCUCUUCGUGCUGUUAGGACGGUUUGUUUUCUGAGGAUCACUCAGAGCAGAAGGGCUCUGAAAAGAGGAUGCUCCCUUUAAGAAAACAAACGCCGGACAGUGAGUGAGCAUGAGCGUGCACAAACAGCCGAGGCACAUGAGCGUGCAUGCAUCCAACCAAUUGUUGUGUGCAUGCGCCUUCUUGCCAGUGGGGGCGCUCUCGAGUUGCUGUGGAUCUAACAGGGAGAACAGCUUUUCUGGCUCUGGGCAUGCGCGGCUCAGAAUAAACAAACAAGCUCUUGCCAGAGUAACAUCGUAGCAAUUUGUUUCCUCUGUGAUCCACAGGUAGGAUAAAAGGCAACUUUUAUAAACCCAUAGAGUCGGCUUCUUUCAAAUGUUUGGCAAAUAUGCAAAGAUUAGUUUUGUGGUGUUUUGUGUAACUUGUGUGUGUAAUUUGGAUAGUUUUGUACUGAGCUUUGGUCUGUGUCUGAUGACUUGUUUUUUGUUGUUGGAGCCUUUGGGAUUUAUUUAAAUUGAAUAAUACGUCAAUGUUGUGUUUGUUUUUGGACCCUGUUACCAUAUUAGUAUUUGUAGUAUUUUUAUUUCUUAUACUGCCAAAUGUCCGUAUUUACUGUGUGUUGUAGAUGGAAUUUUUUGUUCAGUUUGGUUAUGUUAAUUUAGAAUUAGAUUUUAUUCAUUUUUUGAUAUUACGUUAUUUUAUUUGUGCAUUUUGUUUUCUUUAGUUUCUUUGCGUAAACUCCGGAUGUUGUUGAUUGAAUUUGAAUUGUAUUGUAAUUGUAUUUUAUUCAUUUAUUUAUUUAUUUGUUUUUCUUUAAUUGAAAAUGUGUGUCAGAAUAAACAAGCUCUUGCCAGAGUAACAUUGUAGCAAAUUGUUUCCUCUAUGAUCCACAGAUCUUGGUUGCACAGGAUUUCUCUGCCUGUGCGCCACAUGAUACUGACUCAGAUUUCCCUGUAAUCUGGUGCCGGAAGUCCACCUGAAAUCUGUCUGCACUGAAAAGUGUAACGAUGUCUGGUAACGUUACAGGAUGUUCUAUCUGUUGGUGAAUACAGCCUGCUCAGAGGAAUGCUGGGUCACAUGAGUGGGCCGGACUGACCUACUUUCAUCCAAUCAGAGGCCGCCGUCUGCUGUUCUCCUCCCCGUCUCCUCCAUGCAGCCCAGUCACAUUGAAUCUCAUGUGCUCCGGAGCAGGAGCAAAACAAAUCCAGCAGCAGGGAGGAGGAGAGAGGUGAAGAGCAGGCAACAGAGAGUUGGGGAUGGGGAGGAGAGAAGGAAGGGUAAGUAAAAAUGAGCAGAAAGAUAAAAAUAUAGAAAAAGGAAAAUAAAAAAAUGAAAGAAAAAAUGACAAAAGGACUUGAUAGAGGAUGCUAAUUUGAAAAAGCGAAUGCAAAGAAGAUGGGGAAAUGAUGGGGAAGGAAGGGGAGGAAAAUGAAUGAAGGGUUGGUGGAAAAAAGAAAGGAAAAUGUGAGAAACCAUAGGAUGUGAUGAGAAAGGAAAAAGUAAAAAGUAAAAAAUAAAGUGAAAAUGUAAAAGAAUAAAGAUGAGAAGAAGAGAGCACAUCAGAGAUUUGCCCAUCAUAAUGCUGGAGCUCUUUUAUUUAUGUGAUAAAUUUGGCUCUAUUCCUCUUUCUCUCCUUCCUUCAUUCCUCUGAUUGUUUCUCGUCCCUCUUCGCUUUUUUCUUCUGCAACCCAGUUCAAAUCGGUCGACGAUCCCAGCUACUGUCACCUCAUCACGCCCUCUGCAGAGUCCAGUGAUCGUUUUCUAACUUCUGUUACCUCCAGCUGUGAGAAAAAAAA